rnacentral:rRNA from 1 species
GACAGAGGAGCCAAGCGUUGUCCGGAUUGACUGGGCGUAAAGCGCACGCAGGCGGGGGCGCGCGUGGGGGGUGAAACCUGGCCGCUUAACGGCCAGCGGCCAUCCCAUACGGCGCGCCUGGAGCCUUGCAGAGGGCGGUGGAAUUGCCGGUGUAGCGGUGGAAUGCGCAGAUAUCAGGAGGAACACCGGUGGCGAAGGCGGGUCUCUGGGCAGUAACUGACGCUGAGGAGCGAAAGCGUGGGGAGCGAACAGG